GACGGAGGAUGCAAGCGUUAUCCGGAAUUAUUGGGCGUAAAGCGUCCGCAGGUGGCCUAUCAAGUCUGCUGUCAAAGACCGGGGCUUAACCCCAGAAAGGCAGUGGAAACUGAAAGGCUAGAGGAUGGUAGGGGCAGAGGGAAUUCCCAGUGUAGCGGUGAAAUGCGUAGAGAUUGGGAAGAACGCCGGUGGCGAAAGCGCUCUGCUGGGCCAUAACUGACACUCAGGGACGAAAGCUAGGGGAGCGAAUGGG
rnacentral:rRNA from 1 species